rnacentral:rRNA from 1 species
UGAGUACGAGAUGCUACGGCAUCGAAGCAGUCUAUGUCAUACUUCCAAGAAAAGCUUGCAAUGUCAUAAACAAAUAAUGCCUGUACCAUAACCGACACAGGUGGGUAGGUAGAGUAUACUAAGGGGCGCGAGAUAACUCUCUCUAAGGAACUCGGCAAAAUGACUCCGUAACUUCGGGAGAAGGAGUGCCUUAUUUUUAUAAGGUUGCAAUAACAAGAUCCAAGCAACUGUUUACCAAAAACACAGGUCUCCGCUAAGUCGUAAGACGAUGUAUGGGGGCUGACGCCUGCCCAGUGCCAGAAGGUUAAAGAAGUUGGUUAGCAUUAGCGAAGCUGAUAACUGAAGCCCUGGUGAACGGCGGCCGUAACUAUAACGGUCCUAAGGUAGCGAAAUUCCUUGUCGGGUAAGUUCCGACCCGCACGAAAGGCGUAAUGAUUUGGAUACUGUCUCGGAGAGGGGCUCGGUGAAAUAGACUUGUCUGUGAAGAUGCGGACUACCUGCACCUGGACAGAAAGACCCUAUGAAGCUUUACUGUAACUUGAGAUUGAAAUUGGACUUUAUCUGCGCAGUAUAGGUGGGAGACGUUGAAAAUAUUCUUGCGGGAAUAUUGGAGUCAUCAGUGAGAUACCACUCUUAUAAUGUUAGAUUUCUAACUUUGUAUCAUUAUCUGGUCAAAGAACAGUUUCAGGCGGGCAGUUUGACUGGGGCGGUCGCCUCCCAAACGGUAACGGAGGCGCACAAAGGUUUCCUCUGAACGUGUAGAAAUCGUAUCUAGAGUGUAAAGGCAUAAGGAAGCUUGACUGUGAGACCUACAAGUCGAGCAGGGACGAAAGUCGGUCUUAGUGGUCUGACGGUGCUGAGUGGAAAGGCCGUCACUCAACGGAUAAAAGUUACUCUAGGAUAACAGGCUGAUCUCCCCCAAGAGUUCACAUCGACGGGGAGGUUUGGCACCUCGAUGUCGGCUCAUCGCAUCCUGGGGCGGUAGUACGUCCCAAGGGUUGGGCUGUUCGCCCAUGAAAGCGGUACGCGAGCUGGGUUCAGAACGUCGUGAGACAGUUCGGUCCAUAUCCGGUGUAGGCGUUAGAAUAUUGAGAGGAGCCUUCUUUAGUACGAGAGGACCGAGAAGGACAUACCUCUGGUGUACCAGUUAUCGUGCCAACGGUAAACGCUGGGUAGCCAUGUAUGGAGAGGAUAACCGCUGAAAGCAUCUAAGUGGGAAGCCCACCUCAAGAUAAGUAUUCUC